AAGUCGUAACAAGGUAACCGUAGGUGAACCUGCGGUUGGAUCAUUAAUAAAUUCAACGGGACCGGUCAGUUUCGGCUGAUGCGGUCUCUGGCCUUCGGGCCUUUAACCCACUGUGAACUGUUUACUUGACUAUUGAGCACCUAAAAAAUGCUGUCUAGUCAAUAUUUUAAACAUUGUAUAUAAAGUCUUAUCCAAAAAUCAAUUGAAACAACUUUUGACAACGGAUCUCUAGGCUCUC
rnacentral:misc_RNA from 1 species